ensembl:lncRNA
AGCUGUUGGGGUGGGGGGGUGGAGGGGAGAGUUGUAUCUCGAAGCCCCCUCCCCUACUUUUGGGGCUGCGAGUCCGGAAGAGGAGGGAACGCUGCUCCGUCUUCGCUCCCAUCGGAAAACAACCCCUCCGAUCCCCAGCAAUCCAAUCGGACGUGGGCUCCCAGCAAGAACAGCCGCGACGUGCCUACCCAGGGCCUGGCAAGGCGAGAACUCACUGUAUUUUAUUUUUAAGUAUUUCGAUGGGUACACCCAUCCCUCCUCCAUGCCGGGACAGAGAGCAGACGGGACCGCUUCCCCCGAACGACGACCGCACAGGGGUCCCCCUGCCCUGCGAUUUGGCUCUGGACAAAACUUUGUUGGCCGGAGGGGGGGUGGUGGUGGGGGGGCAGCGACACGGGGCUGCGACUGCCGAACCGCUCUGGCUCCUCCGAGAGCUGUAAUAUCUCCUCGGCUCCCGGCACGCGUGAAUAAUUCACCGGGCUGCCAAAUCUAAGUAACGUGUGUGGCAGCUCUGAAGGAGGCGAAGGCCCGUUUUUGGGGGGCAGGAGGAGGUGUGGGGAAUCAAUUGAAACUUAAUAUAGGGCGUGGGGGGGAGAAUGGCGGAAAUAAGGCAGGCAACUUCUUCUAAUAACAACUGGCUGUUAAUAAUUCAGGAGCAGUCAUUGGAUUAUAGCGCAAUAUCCGAAGUACGCGGUGCCGGCACAGUGCGGGUGGAUAAUGUAAUCGGAGCUCAUUUCGGCUUCCAAUAAAUUACAGCAGC